CCAGGGGAGCAUGGUUGGGAAAGGGGGGGACCCACAGGGUUUGCUGGGAACAGCAUCCAAGUCCUCCACUAUGGAUCACACAGUGCCUGGCUGUUCCACACCGGCCAAAGGACAGAGCCAGAGGUCACCAAGGAGGGGCAGGAAGCUCCCACACCAGUUCUAAAAAGACUUGGCCCUUUGGGUGAAGUUCUCUUUGGUCAUUGGCCCAGCAAGGUCCGACAGAGUCACAGAGAUUCUGUGGUCCAGCAGAUCCAUCAGCAGGAGAGAUGGAGCCAGAAAGUCUCUGCAAAACUCCUCUGACAAGACCUCAAAGAGCAUGCAUGAGAGGAAAAGAAACUUACACAUCUCAGAAACCCUCAGCCUUGUGUCUUAAUUAAAGAGCAGCAUGCUCCGGACUAUUCAACACCUGGAGUAAGUGGGACAAGGAGUAACCCCAGCCCCAGCACCCAGGGAAAUGCUGCACACGCUGCCAGUGGAGCCCUCCUGGCACACCCCGACCCCAGGGCCCAGCUUACACAGCUGGGCUGUGAUGUCCACUCAGGCUGGAGGCUGAACAGCAGAGCCUGAGCCUGCUUUCCAGAGGCUCAGGAAAGCUGAGAGGUGCCAGCAAACAGCGUCUACCCCAUCACAGACCACGGCCACUCAACCUGGGAAGAGCAGGUCCCCAGGGGCCGCCGGCAGCACGAGAGGCAGCGUCCCAGCCCAUUCCCAGAGUCCGCCACAGCAAACCUUAGAAUAAAUACCCCGGAGGAUCCCAGGGAGACAGAACAGCCUUAUCCACCCCCUCAGGCAGCUCUGCUCAGUUCAGCUCUGAGAAACAUCGGGCUGCCGAGUCCCAGAGCUGCCGCGUGGGAAUGAGGAGCAGCAGCCUGGCAGGGGUGGGCUGCGCCGUUGUUAUUUAUUCCUCGCAGUGAUUGCAGAUAAGCCCAGCCUGGCAGGUUUUGCUCCAGCUGCCUGUCUGUCCACAUGUGCAGUGAGGACGAGGCUGGUGAGAUGCCUGGACAGGUGAUUGCAUUUUCUGAACAGGAUAAAUAGUAAAUAAAAGUUGCUGGGCUGUGCUUUGACCACUGCAGUGACACGGUUUGUGUCUACACACGAGAGCUUCAACACUCUCUCAAAACACAGCGUCUCAUCUGUCCCACCCACUGGGAAGUGUCCAUCACCUGUGCUUGGCCCCAGACUGCCCAGAGAGUGGCCUGCACCAGGGUCAUGCUGGGGGACAGCCAUAGACACAUCAUGGGUGGCUGCAGCUCAGCACCUGGGCCAUGACCUUCCCAGCAGGCUGCCAGAGCUUGGAUGACCCUGGCAGGGACAGGGAGCCCACCUCCUCCA
rnacentral:lncRNA from 13 species